rnacentral:sRNA from 1 species
UGGAAAUAUUCCAGAAAAGCAACCACAGAAAGCAAC